GAUGAACGCUGGCGGCGUGCCUAAUACAUGCAAGUCGAGCGGUAAGGCUUUCACAGUUUGUUUGAUUGAGACAGGUCGCGGAAAUUGCAAAGCAAUUUUCGCAUCACAACAACAGUGAUGAACGAUCAGUCGUAAAGAUCAAACAAAGUGUGAAAGUACACGAGCGGCGGACGGCUGAGUAACACGUAGGAACGUACCCCAAAGUGAGGGAUAAGCACCAGAAAUGGUGUCUAAUACCGCAUGUGCUCUUCGGAGGAAAGCUUCGGCGCUUUGGGAACGGCCUGCGCAUGAUUAGCUUGUUGGUGAGGUAAUGGCUCACCAAGGCGAUGAUCAUUAGCUGGUCUGAGAGGAUGAUCAGCCAGACUGGAACUGAGAACGGUCCAGACUCCUACGGGAGGCAGCAGUAGGGAAUUUUCCACAAUGGACGAAAGUCUGAUGGAGCAACGCCGCGUGCAGGAUGAAG
rnacentral:rRNA from 1 species